rnacentral:rRNA from 1 species
AUACGGAGGGUCCGAGCGUUAAUCGGAAUUACUGGGCGUAAAGCGUACGUAGGCGGAUGAUCAAGUUGAGGGUGAAAGCCCGGAGCUCAACUCCGGAACUGCCCUCAAAACUGAUUGUCUUGAGUUCGGGAGAGGUGAGUGGAAUUCCUAGUGUAGAGGUGAAAUUCGUAGAUAUUAGGAAGAACACCAGUGGCGAAGGCGGCUCACUGGCCCGAUACUGACGCUGAGGUGCGAAAGCGUGGGGAGCAAACAGGAUUAGAAACCCCAGUAGUCC